ACGUAGGGGGCAAGCGUUGUCCGGAAUUACUGGGCGUAAAGCGCACGCAGGCUGAAUUAUAAGUCGGUAGUCAAAGGCGGAGGCUCAACUUCCGUUUAUCUAUCGAAACUGUAAAUCUAGAGUAUGUGAGAGGGAAGUGGAAUUCCCGGUGGUGCGCUGAAAGGCGUAGUGCUCGGGAUCAAGAGCAGAGGCGAGGGAGGCGUCCGGGAACAAUUCUCCGGCUCGUGUGUGGUAGUUAGUGUCGGGGACGG
rnacentral:rRNA from 1 species